rnacentral:rRNA from 1 species
CAGUAGCCAGGUAAUACAGAGGGUGCGAGCGUUAAUCGGAUUUACUGGGCGUAAAGCGUGCGUAGGCGGCUUCUUAAGUCGGAUGUGAAAUCCCUGAGCUUAACUUAGGAAUUGCAUUCGAUACUGGGAAGCUAGAGUAUGGGAGAGGAUGGUAGAAUUCCAGGUGUAGCGGUGAAAUGCGUAGAGAUCGGAAGGAACAUCUGUGGCGAAGGCGACUAUCUGGGCCAACACUGACACUGAGGCACGAAAGCGUGGGGAGCAAACAGGAUUAGAUACCCCAGUAGUCCCUGUCUCUUAUACA